rnacentral:tRNA from 1 species
GGGAAUGUGGCUCAGUGGUAGAGCACUUUCCUACCAUGGACAAAUUCCUGGGUUUAAUUCCUAGCACCCCA